AAAUAUAUAGUAUAACAAAUUACAUUUAAUUUCCAAUUAAAAAAUUUAAUAAAAAUUAAUAUAUUUA
rnacentral:tRNA from 1 species